GGGGAGAAGCAAGCAAAUACUCCUCAGAAAGGUAAACGUUCGGGUCAAAGUAGUGCUGCUGGGACUGUUCAUUCGGGAACGAGAGAUACUGCAGCUCGAUCAGAGACAAGAGUACCUGCACGUACAUAUGCUAUCCGGGCAAGGGAAGAAGCUUCUGCUCCAGAUGUGAUAGCUGAUUGACUUGAAGUGAAGUGGGUAGAUUGGAUCAACACAACAAAGCACACUAUCCAGAUCAAUUCCGGUAGCUUUUGUUUUAUGUUUGAAGAUUUAUAUGGCAUGUAUAGAGUUUAAAUGAAAUGAAGUAAAGAUGUUAUAAACUAGUUAACAACAUUUUGUACUAAAA